AAGAGAAAUGCUAAGAAAUAUGAACAAGGAGGGAAUAAAGUUAUUCUACCAAUGCAACAAUGAAUUUGUAAUUUUAUGUAGUGUAAUGGCGUAAUGUAGUUUAAUAUUCAAAUUUUAGGGGAAGGAUGCCACAGAAAGAAGAUACAGAAUUCAAGGAAAUGCCGAAGCAUUUCUAACUGAUUAUGGAAUAUCAUCAGGUAUGUUAGCUUGUGGCAUAUUGUUGCUAGAAAGUAUAUGAUGUAUCAUAAUAGAUUAUAUUUGUGUAUAGUGUUGCCAAGUUUCACACCCGUGUUGAAAGUACUAUGGUGUUUAACAUGUCAAAAACUUUUUCUCUAUUUUCUACUUAUCCGUCAAAACUUUUUUUGCUGUAAUUUGUCAUUUAUUUAAUAGUGCAAGACCUUGUUCUCUGUAUUUUUUUCUUAUCUGUCAAAAUCUCCGUGUAUCCUUCUUAGUGGCUUACUGAAAAAAGGAUGUUGAUUUCCUUUUCAUCGGUUGGCUGUGCUAAUCUAUUAACUUCAUUUUUCCUUGCCAACUUUCUAAUUGUGUUUGUUAGUUUAAUUUGUAGGAUCCCCAGUCAUUUCCUUGCUUCCCGGAAGUAGAUUACAGGAGGUUACUCGAAUGUUCCCCAUAUUCUCAAGAACUUUGCAACAAUUAAAAGGUUCUUUUCCAGACGUGGUAACAGCAGUUCAUGUGGCACCUAAUCAACAUGUCGAAGACUACAUUAGUAAAGCUGUUUGUAAGUGGCCAUCAUCAGUUGUAUUGGUUCCUGGAGGAUCACACCAGAUGAAAUACAAUUCAUUUAGUGUAAGGCCUUGAGUCUUGUAUCUUUACAUUUUAUAGUGAAGUAGCUGGGACUAGAGUUAUGCUUCAUGUUCCGUAUAUGAACUUUUGGGGCUUAGAAAAAGGUUUUAAUGCUCAUUUUUCUAGAAGAAUUAACUAUUUUGGGACAUACUAUGGUCGAAAUGACUCAAUGAAUUGGAAAUGGGGCAAGUCCCUUGGUGGCAUUAUUAAGGUACAUACCUCAAUGAAUAUGCCUUGCGAUGGAAAACUAGCAUCUAUUAUCUUUGCAUUUAAUUGUUCCUCACAAUGCUAAGAAUAUGACGGGUUCAAGCUAUGGAAACAGCCUCUUGCAAAAAUGCAGGGUAAGGCUGCGUACAAUAGACCCUUGUGAUCCGGCUCUUCCCCGUACCCCACGCAUAGCGGGAGCUUAGUGCACCGGGCUGCCCUUUAUCGCUGAGAAUAUGAUACACUGUGAGUAGGAAAGAGCCAGCCGCUUGGUUUGGAUCUGGGGGAUCUCAAUUCCAAGGAUGAAGACCUAGUCUUUGCUACUAAAGGCUGGCCAAUUGGCUAGCAUGUUUUCUAGUUCUAGUUUUGUUCUUGAUAUAUAGAUAAUAUAUCUUCUAAGCUCCUGGCAGAUUGCUGAAGUUAUUUAUUAAUCCAGAACAAAUAAAAAUAUUUAUAUAACUCCAGAACAAGUGAAAGUGGAAGGUACUUUGUGCUUGUUACGAGUUUUUUUUCUUCAAAUUGUUUCAUUUUUUUCCCUGUUAUUCAAACCGUUGUUAUGUGGAUUUGAUACUAGGCAAGCUAUAGGUAUGUUUUUAAGUGCCAGCAGUAACUCCAAGAUCUGUUUCAGACAAUAUUGUGUCUUAUCCAACUAGACUUUCCUAAAUAUAGUUGUUGGUAUUGGAUUCUGUGUGAAUUGUGUGCUUGGCACUUUGUCACUAUAAUUUGUUUUUCCUUUUUAUCUAAUUUUUUAUCACAAAAUGAAACUUUAGUGCAUUUUUUGUAAUUAUUGAAGGGGAUAUACAUAGCCUAUGGUCCUCAAUUUUUCUGCUGUUUAAUCAUCUUUCCCGUAAAGAAAUAACAUAUCCUAUGAAAGUAUGAAUGACUAAAUCAACAUGGAAAUAAUUCCUGGGUUGAUGACUUGAUGUUGUAUGACUGUCCUUUCUCUUUCCCUUCCUUUUGUCUCAUGCUCAUGAAUAUAUUGAAUUGCAUCAUGUUUCAAGGUGUAGGUGGUAACAUGAACUGUGUUUCUGCAUUAUGCAGGCAAGCAGUGUAGCACUAUGCACUUCUGGUACAGUUGCGAUGGAAAUGCAGCUUGCAAGACUGCCAUGUGUUGUUGCGUAUCGAGCCCAUCUCCUGACAGAAUUAUUUAUACGAUACAAAGCUAUUAUACCAUACAUCUCUCUUCCUAAUAUUCUUUUGGAUUCAGCUGUAAUCCCUGAAGCUCUAUUUCAAGAUUGCACUCCGUCAAAAUUGGCAUCAUUACUCAAGUAAGCUUCAACUAAGUGAUCCUUGUUCCUUUUUGGUUUCCCACCCUAACUGAAGCUUCUUAAAUUAAACUUCAAUGACGUGUAAAGUGACCUGUCUUAGACAAUAUAAUCCUGGGAAAUGCAUGAGCUGGACUAUACUUUUUUCUACCUUGUAGUUUUGUUGUUUUCUGGUUGGCAAAAGUAAACCAAACCAAUCAUAAAAAAGGAACAACAGAUUUUUAUGACGAACCAUCCAAAAAAAUAGAAUGAUUUUUAAAAAAAUGAACAAUAGAGAGUCUGCCUCUGUUUGUGUAAGAGUACAUGCUGUAAAUCUUUAAAAUGGCUUAAAUAUGACUUGGAAUCUUGAAAUCACAGGGAUUUAAUAGUUGAUGACAACUUUCGAGAAAAACAAAUUAUUGCAGCUGAAAAGGUUUUUGAGCUGCUAAGACCUCCAGAGAUGAACAUUAGUUGCUCAAUCCAGGGGGGGAUGAGUGUUCCACUUUCUGAUUGUACACCAAGUAUGGUCGCAGCAAAUGCAAUGUUGUAUUCUCGGGGUAAGCUGGAGUAAGGUGGUUCGUGCUAAUUCAAACAGUUGAAGUGAGCAAAGUUGAGAUAAGAUGCAGCUAGAGAGUUUUGAAGAAAAUCUGUUAGAAAGUCAGCAACUGAAUAGCAGUUGGAUAAUUUCUAUGCAUAUAGCGAAGCUCAAGUUGUAUCUGCAAGCUGUGUAAAAUAGUUAAUGAAAAAUUUUCACCUCGUGGAAAUCGUCCUUCUUUCUCUUCCUCUCUCAGAUUAAGGAUUGUAACAGCUGUGUUGCAUUGGAUUAAUGAAGUGAGAAGUCAAAAGGAGAUCAGAAAUAUUUCUAGGAGAUGUUGGAGAUUUAUCUGAAGUAUCCUAUGAUCAUAAGCUAUCAAUCUAUGAUUUGAACCAAAUGGGGUUCUAGUGGUUGAACUAUUCAAAUAUACUAUUUGAUAAGUUGGCUGUAUGCGUGGUGAUGCAUGUUCUUUACCUGAGUGCUUUAUUAAUUCUUGGUGAUGUAAACUAGUCUCCGUCUCUAGUGCUUUAUAAAAAAAUAAAACUAUAUUUAUAACAUGAACUUGCUGCUUCCCUUUCUUUUAUCUUUUCUUAAAUCGAGGGUCUUCCGAAAACAGUCUCUCUGCCUUCUUGAAGGUAAGGGUAAUGUCUGCAUACAUACUACCCUCCCAGAUCCCUUGUGGGAUUAUACUGGAUCUGUUAUUGUUAUUGUAUAUCAUGAACUUGCUCAUCUCUUUUGGUCCCAAAAACCAUCCUUAGAUCUUAAAGUACCAAAUGACAAUGUACUAAUUUUUCAUCACUAUUCGCCAUAAUUAUAUACUUGAUUAUUUCCUUAUUUUUUGAAUUAUGAAUUGAGAAUAGAGGUCCGACCGGCCAUAUCUAGAAGUUUGACAAGGGAAUUGUAUUUCCAUGUCUAAAGAAUUAAACAUCUCAUCAGACACAUAAAUUUAAUUGAAGUAAAAGUCUAUUUGUUCCAUCGACAACUAUUGAGGAAAUCUCUCACGUUCCAAAUUUAUGGGGGACCUAUUACUUUAACCGGAAAAGUAAAGUAUUAGGGGAAAAAAGAUGUUGAGAAAAAUUAAUUACAAGUAGCUUGUUUUAUUUUUAAGAUUACAAGUUUCAUUUUUAUAGAGAAUUACAUAUCUAUUGAAUAUUUGAUAUAAAUAAAAAGUUGUGUCACUCAAUAACUUUAUAUAAGUUANNNNNNNNNNNNNNNNNNNNNNNNNACAUAUACGAAGUUAUACGAAUAACUCUAAAUCUACUAACUUAAAAUCCUCAUCCUCCUUGAUAGAUUGUGUCAGGUUUCUCUUCCUCUAUCUCAAAACACACAAAAUUUGCUCAUUGCUCUAUCUCAAUAUGUCUCUUGCUUCUUGUUAUUGGACGAUUAUGCAAGAUUGGGCUUUUUUGUCUUGUUUUGGUUAUUAUGCUUCAGUCUUAUGGCUCGAUAUAUAUUUCUGUAGCUUUGCUUAGAAGACGCAGAUUCGGCUUGAGCUAUAAAUUUAUAUACACAUUAUAUAUUUGAAUAUUUUUUUAAGUAUACAUACUUAUGCUGCGUCCGAACUCAUUUUCACAAAGAGUUAGUGGGUGAGUGGAAGCUCGAAUCCACUAACUGUAAUCCUGGAUCCACCUCUGUUGCACAUGAAUUCUUCUUUCAUUUCUUUCUCGCUUAAGCCCUUUAGCAUUUCCAACAGACUUUGGUUGUUACUGUAAACUUGUUGAAUUAGGAGUAGUUGUUAAGAACUUUUCUCAUUUUGGUUUCCAGGAGAAGGUUGGAGCAGCUACUGAAAAGAAUCAGGUAAACAAGGGGCCGAGUUCACCCCAUGAUGAAAUUCUUUUGUCUGAUUUGCUUGAUCUGAAAAUUAGAUGGCCAACUGAGCUGGAGACAGACAACACUAUUACAAAUAAGAAGCUAGAGCAAAGCAAAAGCUCUUACAGUUCGACUGUAGUCGACCUGGACAACUUCCUUUCUUUUACAAACAUAUCCAGUGCUUACAGAGAACAGACAGACAUAAGCGAUAAUAUUGGGACUGCAGUAAAUAAAACUGAUGGAAGUCAUGAGGAUCUUAGUUUGUUUGAGAAUCUCAGAUCCUCCGAACGGGCUGUGACCUCUGCUACUGUCCAAACUACUGAUGACAGAUCCUCUGAACGAGCUGUGACCUCUUCUACUGUCGAAACUACAAAUGACUUUACUGGAUGGAAAGCAGAUUUUCAGAGUGCUGAUUCAGGAGAGGAGAAUGUGUCUAACAAAUCUAUCACUCCUAUAGGUUCUGCAGGUCAGCAUGUGUUUACCACAUUUGGCACCUCUAUGAGUUCCACAGUUAGUUCUGGAAACCAGCAGGAGGGUUCCAAAUCAACUGAUGCGUUUGUUGGCUCAGAUAUUGAUCUUUCUGCUCAGUUAGAUACGGUUUUUGGAACCCCAAAAGGCCCAAUAGACAGAAAACUGACGGAUGUUGCAGCAGUUUCUCCUGCAGCUAAUGACUGGCCGGCAGUUGACCUAUGGGAUAUUGCAAAUUCGGGAGCAUCGCAAAAUGCUGGGGAAGUUCUUCCAAUUGUGAGACCUAAGGAUGCUGAAUUACAAGAUAGUUCAAAUGACCCCUCUACUAGCAUUGAUUGGUUUCAAGAUGACACAUGGCAGACUCAGAAUGCACCUGCACCUAAACAUGAUGCAGCAAAUGGAGAUCAUGAUUCUUUUGAUGAGUGGGAUACUUUUACAUCUUUCGCACCCAUCAUAGAUCCUUUUGAGAAUGCUCCUGCACCUAAAAAUGAUGCAGUAAAUGGAGAUCAUGAUUCAUUUGAUGAGUGGAAUACUUUUACCUCCUCUGCACCCAUCAAAGAUCCAUUUGAGAAGGCACCUACACCUAAACAUGAUACUGCAAAUGGGGAUGAUGAUUCCUUUGAUGAGUGGAAUACUUUUACCUCCUCUGUACCCACCAAAGAUCCAUUUGAGAAUAUUCUGGUGCAAAGCGACAAUGACAACAAUAAUAAUAAUGCAGAACUAACAAAUUUCAGUUCAAACCUUGAAGAUAUGGAUUUUGGCAGUUUUUCGCAGUCGGAUCCUUUUUCAGGUGCACCUGUUAAAGAGGCUGUUUCUGCGGAAGUGAAUGACAAUAUUUUGGAAGUUCCUACCAUAUUCAGGUGUGUUCAUAUUUUUAUUAUUUUUGUAAUAUGGCUGAUUUAGGAAGACUUCUUUUGAUUAGUGGAGAUUCCGAGGAACAUAGGCGUCAAAUAUUGUUCUUAUACUAUGGUUGGGGCGAAAAGAGGAGGGGCUGGAGGAUUGGCAGAAAAUCUGGGGAUUAGAGUAAGGGAGGCGAAGUAAAUUUAGAGGGGUAAUACCCCUCCACAUAAGAUUUUCCGAUUUGGACAGAAGGGAGGAAAUAAUUUGGAUUUAUUUCCUUCUAUACCAAAUGAUUGGAAGUAAAUUAUCAAAAUCUUACCUUGGGGAUAUAAACCAAUAAAUUUCUCUCUUUCACUCUCCCUCUCCCCUUCCUGAAGCCAAACAUAGAGUUAAGGUAGAAAUGGAGGAAUUAGAUCUUAACAUAAUGAAAAUCACAGAAUACGAGGCAAAGAAAAAGCAAUAGAAAAGAAAGGAGAAUCUGGAAGAAUGCAGGCUUCAACCAUGGCUUUUGAAAGUAAAAUAAACGAAUUAAAUCAAACUUUAGUAAGAAUCACAGAAUAUAAAAUAUUUGUAAAAUGGGAAAAGAAUCAAAAAGUAUGAGGAAGGAGCAAUGCAAGAAAAGAAUAUAGGAAAAAUACUGCAGUAUCCGCUGAAAGUUCCUUGGAGAAGGUAAGGGUACAAUAAGCUUAAGACAGUUUUGAAGUUUUAUUGGUUUAACUUUGUGCAAAUUUUGAGAAAGUAUAAAAUUCAACUUUGUGCAAAUUUGAGACAGAAGAAAAUAGGAACUGACUAUUGAUUGGUAACUGUCUUUCAUCCUGGAGGUGCAAGGUCCGAUUCUCACUAGACCCCUCUUCCCCUUUCACCUACCCUGUGCCUCCCUCGCCUGAAAACAAGAAAUUCACAGAAAUGGAAAAAAGAUGCGAACGUGUUCAUUAAAGGGUUUUUCAUUUGUAAUGACUUGGAAGUUGAAAGGUAGAAGUUUCUGGAAGAGGAGGAUUACAUGGGCUCUUUUGGAGCUGAGAGAGGAAAUUAUUUCCGUCUUCCCAGGAUGAGAGUUACGUGUUUCCUUGUCCCAGAGAGGUAAAAUCACAACAUUAACAAAAUGACUCAAAUCCAACCUAGUUUUGAAAAAAAAAUAAUCAAGAGAUAUUAUAGAUAUUUCCAAGGUGAUUGACUCGAUAGAUCUUUAUUACUCCUUUUGUUUCAAUUUAGAUGACACACUUUCCUUAUUAAUCCGUUCCAAAAAGAAUGACACAUUUCUACAAUUGGAAAUAAUUCAACUUUAAACUCUUCAUUUUAUCCAUUUUACCCUUAAUGGGAAGCUUUUAUAACCACACAAAUGUCAUGGCCCCACAAAGUUUUUACCCCUUAAGCUUUUAGGACCACAAGUUUCAAAAGUCUUCUUUUUUUUUCUCUUAAACUCCGUGCCGAGUCAAACUGCCUCAUCUAAAUUGAAACGGAGUGAGUACCUAUUUAUCCAGCUAUCUUCCUUGAAAAAAUAACAAGUAGCUGUUGACUAACUGAUGCUAGACCUUAAAUUGAUUUUCUUUUUUAUUCUGGAGAUUUCAUGAGAGCAGAGCAACUCAGCCCCUGCUCGCCCCCAAAAAAUGGAACAAAAGAGAAAAAAAGAAAAGAAAAAGAAGGCACAUUUGAGAGACUAGAUUCGAUCUGUGUCUGUUCAUAUUCUAGUUGUUGUUUAAUUGUUUGCUCAUUAAGAUCUAUUGUUCUUGAGAUAGAUGUUACCUUGGGAUUUGGCUAGAGUAUCCAAGUUGCAUUUUAAAUUGACUAUUGUUCUUCAGAGGGGUCAACUUGGGGACGCAGGGCAGUAGACUACCUGAGAAGAAGCAGUAGAAGAAAGAGAUCCAGAGGUAGAUGGAAAAGGGGAUUUUAGCUAGUUGGCAAAACAGAGAUACCUAUGACCUCUUUUAUUUUUGAGAAGAAGAAAAGAAAAGAGAGGUACCUUAUGACUUCCCUGAUGUAUCUAUUGAACCAUUUAGGGGACUAUAUAUAAUGGCUGACAAUGUUCACUAGCGAUACUGGAAAAGCUUAUGUCUAUUUUGAGAUAUCUACACAAUAUAUUUCAAUUGUGAUUGUAGAUGAAGAAUAAGAAACUGAGAAAUACUUAGGAGGCAAUACUUGGAGAGGUUGCCAUGUAAAAUCAUGAUUGUGUGCAUUUGAUUUUUUUUUUUUUUUUUUAAACUUCCUAAAUAUGAGUUCAAUCAACAAUUUCUUACAUUUCAUUUAACAUCUUUUAGUGCCGUUGAUACUCCAAGCAAGGUUGGUGAUAAUGCUGGACAUGCUUCAGAGAAUUCAGACAUUCGUGGUGAAUCGAAUCCAUCAAAAAAUGAUAUGGAUAUAGAAGGUAUAAUGUCGCAGAUGCAUGAUCUUUCUUUUAUGCUCGAGACCAAUCUAUCCAUUCCCUCGAAAUCUAGCAUUUCUCUUCCCAGGGAUUGAUACCUAGAUUUGUUCACUUGGUUAGUCUUCAAGAUUUAUGUAAUCAGGUCGAUCCUGUUCAUGUAUUUUAUUGUUAGAGAAUAUGAUUGUUUUUGUAGUUCGUUAUCUUAAGCCAAGAUCCUGUUCCGGAUAUCUUUUUGUAACCAAAAGGAGACGAGUUCUGUUUUUCGAUAGGGGUAAACAAAUGAACCUCCCCACAUCCCUAGAGUAGCUUUCUGGUCACGGAGUUUGCGAUGUAUUGUUUAUGGACCACUUUAUGAGAUACAUGUAGGAAGAUAUAUAAAGAUCAGAUUGUGUUACUACCAAGAUUUUCUUGUGGACUCUUCUGUAAAGAUCAGAUGUUUUCUCAUUUUCAGAAAGAAAAAAAAAUAGAUUGCUUUC
rnacentral:lncRNA from 1 species